rnacentral:tRNA from 1 species
UGGAGAGUUUGGCCUACUGGUGUAGCCCGAUGACUUCAAAUCAUUAGGCAGGAUAGUUGACUAUGUUGCGAGAGGUUCGAUUCCUCUACUCUCUAGCCA